rnacentral:rRNA from 1 species
UACGUAGGGAGCAAGCGUUGUCCGGAAUCAUUGGGCGUAAAGCGCGCGUAGGCGGCCCGGUAAGUCCGUUGUGAAAGUCAAAGGCUCAACCUUUGAAUGCCGAUGGAUACUGCCGGGCUUGAGUCCGGAAGAGGCGAGUGGAAUUCCUGGUGUAGCGGUGGAAUGCGCAGAUAUCAGGAGGAACACCAAUAGCGAAGGCAGCUCGCUGGGACGGUACUGACGCUAAGGCGCGAAAGCGUGGGGAGCGAACAGG